UACGGAGGGGGCUAGCGUUGUUCGGAAUUACUGGGCGUAAAGCGCACGUAGGCGGAUAGUUAAGUCGGGGGUGAAAUCCCGGGGCUCAACCCCGGAACUGCCUUCGAUACUGGCUGUCUAGAGAUCGAGAGAGGUGAGUGGAAUUCCGAGUGUAGAGGUGAAAUUCGUAGAUAUUCGGAGGAACACCAGUGGCGAAGGCGGCUCACUGGCUCGAUACUGACGCUGAGGUGCGAAAGCGUGGGGAGCAAACAGG
rnacentral:rRNA from 1 species